rnacentral:rRNA from 1 species
AGGAUUAACGCUGGCGGCGUGCCUGACACAUGCAAGUCGAACGAGGCCGCAAGGCCGAGUGGCGGACGGGUGAGUAACACGUGACCAACCAACCUCGAAGUUGGGAAUAGCUCUGCGAAAGUAGGGGUAAUACCGAAUGUGGCCCAGGGCGGGCAUCCGCCUUGGUCUAAAGAUUCAUCGCUUCGAGACGGGGUCGCGGCCUAUUAGCUUGUUGGUGAGGUAACGGCUCACCAAGGCGAUGAUGGGUAGCUGGUCUGAGAGGACGACCAGCCACACUGGGACUGAGACACGGCCCAGACUCCUACGGGAGGCAGCAGUGAGGAAUCUUCCGCAAUGGGCGAAAGCCUGACGGAGCAACGCCGCGUGUGGGAUGGAAGACUCUAGGGUUGUAAACCACUGUCGGAGGGGACGAUCGUGACCGGUACCCUCCGAAGAAACGCCCCGGCUAACUACGCGCCAGCAGCCGC